AGAUAUUAAAAAAAAAAAAAUCAGGUUUAUGAUUUUUCGGGACUGAUAUGCAUUCUGUAUGUUGUAAAAGUCUUGGUGUGGAGCCCACUAACUAUUCAUUACUGUUCAUUUGGCGGCUUUGAUAGAGUUUGUCUGUCACGGGUGAACAGUGAUUACUGUUCAUUUGGCGGCUUUGAUAGAGUAUGUCUGUCACGGGUGAACAGUGAUGAAUAGUGAUUAUUUCAGCCUAUAAAUAAGAAGAGUAACGGGAAGAAGAAAAAAAGAAAAAGAAAAGAGAGAAGAGAAAGCAGAGAGAAAUUCUCCUAGAGAGAAAAUUCAGUGAGCCACAUAUGUUGUAAACACUAAAGUUGUAGCCAUAUCAUUUUAUAGUGAAAGGUUACUGCUGCUGCUCUCCGAGGACGUAGGCAUAGCCGAACCUCGUUAAAAGCUGUGUCUCAUCUAUUUUACGUGCAGCUCAAUAUCCGCAUAUAUUCCAGGUUAUUUUAUAACACGUUAUCAGCACGAAAGUCUCUCCUUUUAUUUCUGAAAUUUUUUCCAACUCAACACUAUGUGGUUACUUCUCUGUCUCCUCUCUGUCAUAUGUCUACUCUCACUUUACUACUACAAUGACAUGCAAACUUUCCUUUUUGUGUUCUCACAAUUUCUCUGUUGUUUAAUCCAUGCUUGUUUAAUUCACUUCUUUGUAACGUAAUUUCUAUGUUGUUUAAUCAGUCCUGUUAUUUUAUGGUGGUGUAAUUUUUUACCUAUCGCGUUGUAAUACAAAUUAUUGUAAUAAAAUGAUGGUGUGAUCUUAAAACCCAUCUAUUAUAUCUUGAAUAGUGGCGCAGUUAUAUUGCCCGCACUAUAUAAUAUAUUAUGCACUUCAUAUUAGGUGGAGGUUUUUAUCCCCACAUUUAUUUUAUUUAUGGUAUGGUGUAGGUUUAUUACCCAUACGGCAAUAUUUAUUUAAAGGGUGGUGCGGGUUUAUCGUCCACGCCUUUACUUUUAUUUAAAUGUAUGGAGCAGAAUUAAUGCCCAUACAAGCACCUUUACUUUAUGAAAUUUACUUUAUCACAAAUUUACUUUUUCUUAAAGUAUGAUGAGGAAUUGACCCUCAUACUUUAUGAAAUUAACUUUAUGAAUUUAAUUUACCGCACAUUUAAGGUAUGGUGCGGGUUUAUCGUCCAUACCAGCAAAUUCAUAACACUUUAUUUAUCAUCAAUUAAUAUACCUGAAUAAUAAGGACCUAGAGUUCCUUAUAAUAAUGUAACAGUACCGUAUUGGUUCAUAGUGCCGUACACAUGGAUGAUAACUGUACUGGCAGAUGUACUGUACACAUGAAUAGAUACGUAUUCAUGACUUGAUGAAUAGUACUAUUCACAUGAAUAGUGACGUAUGCAUAAAUAUUAACCAUUUUGGGUAAACCGUCACUAUAUACAAAAGGGAACCUGCAAUUCCUUAAACUCAUGCAUGAGCAAUUAAAUGAGAUGCCAGAAGUUCCUCAAAAUAUGGACAAUUAUGUAAAGGCUUGAAGUCCCGAAAUAUGUACAGAAAAUUGUAAAAAUGUCCAUACCAUGAGAAUAUGUGAUUUUGGCCCGAAGUUCAAAAUCUAAGGGGAUUGAAUGUCCAUACCAUGAGAAUAUGUGAUUUUGGCCUGAAGUUCAAAAUCUAACAAUGUUGAGAACCUAAAGUUCCAACAAUUAAAUGGACAACCCUUGAGGUAUUAUUGCAAAUUGUGGUAUGCCACAUAUUUCUUUGGCAUAAGAGGAUGAUAAAUUUAAUAAAGUUCGAUUUUGUCGACACCUCAAGGAAGAAAUAUAUUUUGUGAAUUCCGGUUGUUAAGAAUACACCGCGAAAUGCAUAAUAUCAAUAUAAACCUCAAAUAAUGAAUUGAGGCUCCCCACAUAUUUUAUUAUAUCUGGGCCGGAAGCCCAUGGAUCAAAAUAUAUGAGAGAUCCUGAACUUGAAGUUGUGGGUAUAUAGUAGUUAAUGCUCUUCACUACUAUAUUGCGAUAUUAUUGUGGCUUUUACUCACUUCAUAUUUCAUGUGCAUUUGAAAAAGGGCAAAUAAAUUCUGAGUUUUGUGUUUAGCCCAAGCCAAAAGUUCCGGGCUCACAUGCAUGAAAAUAUGUAAUUUGAGAGAUUUGAUGUGGUUAUUUGAACCUAUAAGGCACAAGGUUCCAAACCGUCAUUUUGAAAAGAUGUAAAAACCACAGGUGUAAGUUUAAGAAUGUGCGCAAUUAUUAUAAUAGGAAAGGAGCAUAUAACAGAUAGAUUUUUCCACCUGCAAUGAAGGUGCAGGCCCUGUAAAAUCUAUAAAAUUACAUUAUGUUCUGGAAGCCUCUGAAGGAAGAGGACGGCGCCUCUUAAGCUUAGCCAUGAGCUUCUCGUGGUCUCCCAAAAUUCUUUCAUUGGAGACCUGCAGCAUGUCUAGCCUUCUCAGUGUAUCAACUGAGUACGAACUCACCAGUUUCAACAAGGAAUUAUUCUCUCCUUUAAGUUUCUCAACCUCCUGUUGAGACUCAUGAAGCAUUCUUUGGAGAGACGAAUUUUCAGUUGUCAGCUUCUCAACCUCGUUUGCUCUAGCACGCAAACGAUCAGCCAUGUUAGAAACAGAAGCAGCACUCUGAAUGCUAAAAGCCAUUGAGUCAUCAAUAGCCUCUUCCUCAGACCUCCCUGUUAACAGCAUUUCAUCCAUCGGAGUAAUGAAAUUCCUAGCUACUAUGAUAGCAGUAGCAUCAUUCAUCAUCACAGAAUCAUUAACUGUGAGAUGACGAUUUUGGGAUACAAAGGAUGGAGCCCAAACUUUGGCGUCACUGGUUGUUGUGGGAGCAUCAUUUAAAUUGAAAUAAUUUGGGCAGGAAUUAGAGGAAGCCAUUUUUUUUUUUUUAAGAAGGUUUCAGGAAAACUAAAGUUUCAGAAAAUGAAGAAAUUUGAGUUGAAACGCAGUUGCUCCAAUCAAGUUUUGCAAAGGCCAUAUCUAUAGGAGGAAAUAUGGCUACUGUUUUUCAGGACCCCAAUAUCUUCUCGAAUCCCCAUAUUAUCUUUUUCUUUCCCAGAGUCCAAAACUGCACGUGGCCUCUAAUAAUGCCUGUCGGCACUUUCGGCGUUUUCAAGUAUUAUUUUCAAAGCCGAUCUUGCUUUACGGAUUUCACGGAGCUACUUUUUCAAAAGCAUCCCGAGAAUCUCGCAAUUUUCUUAUGGUUAAUUUGAAAUUCACCGGUUCUACCUAUUCAUUGUAUUUGUGUAUAAAUGUGUUACUAACGAAAUUUUCUUUGCAGAAGACAUCCAGUUUACUCCAUACCUAGUGAUGCGAUAUCUACUUGUUUUUCUUAUCAGUAAGCACUCAAUAUGCCCGAGAAGCAAGACUAUCUCUGAUCAUCCAUUCAGGAAGCGAGACUAUCCCUGAUCACGUUUCCGCUGCAUUAGGAAACUGUGAAGGCGAUCUUAUGCUCUAAUCUCCGGAAGUCCUUCUAGACCAGGAGAUAUGAGAGCUUAUUGUCUGCUCCCACCAGCUUCCUUCCCUGAUUGCUUACCUUCUCUUGCAAUCAAUAUCACAUUAUUUUUGCAUUUUUUCUCUUUUUAUAACUCUCUGUUCAUAAGAGAUUUUAUUUCUUUAGAAUGAACAUCUGAAGAAUGAAUCCAUGCAGUGAUCCUAACUCUGAGAGUUAUUUGUUUUUGACAGAGAAGAGAAUUGUGAUUUUUGCUCUUGCAGGAUAUAACAAGAUCAUCAAGCAAUACUUUAUAUUUACUGGGCCGAUACGAGCUUGAAUGAUACUUGAGAAAAGUUUCUCCCACCUAAGGAUGUAAGCAAUACUUGUGUUAUUUUAUGCUUAUAUACCUAUUUGAUAUUUUAUCUUGAAAGGUAACCAAAUGGGGAGAUAAGUCCGUUCCAAAAGAAUGGCUUGUAUGUAUCCAUGAAUUAUUAACGCAAAUUUUACAGAUUGCAAGUUGGAUACAUUGAUAAUACACUGCACAGAUUAAAGUCCCAUAAGAACAAAAUAUGGGUAUAGCAGUGAUCAAUAUGAUGCACGCCUGCUGCGUAGCAAAUGAUGUGGAUUGAAGUCCCGAAAGGACAAUCCUUUGACAUGUCAAUAUUGAUAUUAUGCACGCCUAAUGCGUAGCAAAUUAUAUGGGUUAAAGUCCCAUAAAUUAAUUGACAUGUAUGUAUUAAUCUGUGGCAUGCCUGCAGCAUGACAGAUAUAUGGGUUCUAAAUGUUCCAACUCCCUAAAUGGAGAUUAUCCACGCCCUACUAUAAAAUAACGCUCCAUUGGAGGUUAUAAUCCACAUUCUCACAUAAUAAAAGCCCCCUGCAGUGGCUUGGGUACCCAAAAGCAAAGAAAUGCUUAUAAUUGAUGUAUGCGCAUGCAAAUGAGAAUGGUGGGAUCAUAAAUUGAUGAAUGACAAAUUUUUGGAGUAGUUACUCAAAUCAUCAAUGGGCUGUGUUGAUUGGGACCACGUUCAAUUAUUAAAUGUCGACAAUAUCAUUGGCCAAAAUGGAAAGAGGUAAUUCCAUUAUAGAUAAGAAUGAACGUGAAAGAACAAACCCACAGUACGAACCUCAAAUUUGUCAAUACUGAAAGUUAUACUUGGGUGUUCGGAAUAAAAGGGAAUAUACCUACUUUGUAUGACACAAUGUUUCUGGCAGCAACAAGGAAUGUUGGGUUUUCUCCAUAUUUACAGAUUCAAUUGUGCCCCCUUAUUACACAAUUACGGAGACCAACAUAUUAUCUUUAAGGGUUAUUAAAUGCACGGAGCAUAUCGCCAGAAGCGAUUUCCUAAAGAUGUAUAAAUAGCUGGGUAAAAGCUAUAUAAUGUGUCAUAAAGUUUAAUCCCUUUUAGACAAAAUCCGUUGUGAGGAUUGACAUUACAUAAAGCAAGUCCCUAAAGAACAUGUGCUUGAAGCACAAAAUUUGUACUCAAUGUUAAUAUGCAUAAAUUACCUUAGUGAGUACAUUGAUUAUAAUGUGAUUGCAACACAUUAAAACUUCUGCAGAAUUCACGAAAUAUUUAUCUCGACUUAAAAAUCGAGCAUUAUGCCAACGAGAUUCUUGCUUAUACUGAGAAAGUAUUGAAACGGUUUGGCAUGGAUAAAGCCCAUCCACUUAGCACUCCAAUGGUCGUUCGAUCGCUUGACACUAAGAAAGACCCAUAUCGUCCAAAAGGGGAUGAUGAAAUGGUCCUUGGUCCAGAAGUACUAUAUCUUAGUGCAAUAGGUGCUUUAUUGUACCUAGCACAAUGUACCAGACCAGACAUAUCAUUCUCAGUAAAUCUGUUAGCAAGGUACAGUUCUGCUCCAACAAGGCGACACUGGACCGGCAUCAAACAUGUUCUACGAUAACUUCGUGGGACAACAGACAUGGGGUUAUUCUAUUCCAGUGAAUCGACCAACGCCCAGAGUAUUAUUGGUUAUGCUGAUGCAGGAUAUCUCUCUGAUCCACAUCAAGGACGAUCACAGACUGGGUAUGUAUUUACAUGUGGAGGAACUGCGAUCUCAUGGCGCUCAACAAAACAAACAUUAGUGGCCACAUCUUCCAAUCACUCAGAAAUACUUGCCCUCCAUGAAGCCAAUCGUGAAUGCGUUUGGUUAAGAUCGGUAAUCCAUCACAUCCGAAGCACAUGUGCCCUACCCUCAACAACAGACACUCCAACAAUUCUGAAUGAGGACAAUGCAGCUUGUAUUGCUCAGAUCACAGGAGGAUAAAUCAAGGGUGACAGGACCAAACACAUAUCACCAAAGUUUUUCUAUACACAUGAGCUCCAGCAGAGUCAAGAAAUCAAAGUCAGACAAAUCCGCUCAAGUGAUAACCUGGCAGAUCUCUUCACUAAAUCAUUGCCGAAAUAUACAUUCCAAAAGUUAGUACAUGGCAUCGGAUUACGACAACUCUGCAAGCAAUCAAGUUGGAGCAUGUAAAAUGAGGGGGAGCAUUCAAGAGUCCUCUAACAUAGGACAUAUGCACGUUGUACUCUUUUUCCUUCGCUUAGAUUUUCUCACUGGGUUUUUUCCAAGCAAGGUUUUAAUGAGGCAACCAAUCUAGGGACAUGUGGUCUCCAAGGGGGAGUGUUGUAAAAGUCUUGGUGUGGAGCCCACUAACUAUUCAUUACUGUUCAUUUGGCGGCUUUGAUAGAGUUUGUCUGUCACGGGUGAACAGUGAUUACUGUUCAUUACUGUUCAUUUGGCGGCUUUGAUAGAGUUUGUCUGUCACGGGUGAACAGUGAUGAAUAGUGAUGAAUAGUGAUUAUUUCAGCCUAUAAAUAAGAAGAGUAACGGGAAGAAGAAAAAAAGAAAAAGAAAAGAGAGAAGAGAAAGCAGAGAGAAAUUCUCCUAGAGAGAAAAUUCAGUGAGCCACAUAUGUUGUAAACACUAAAGUUGUAGCCAUAUCAUUUUAUAGUGAAAGGUUACUGCUGCUGCUCUCCGAGGACGUAGGCAUAGCCGAACCUCGUUAAAAGCUGUGUCUCAUCUAUUUUACGUGCAGCUCAAUAUCCGCAUAUAUUCCAGGUUAUUUUAUAACAC
rnacentral:lncRNA from 1 species